rnacentral:rRNA from 1 species
AAAGAUUAAAGCCAUGCCAUGUAUAAAGUACAUUUUUUGGAAACUGCGAACCGGCUCAUUUGAGGCUUAUAUAAAGGUUUUUCGGCUGCCUUUUUAGGCUAUCUUCGACAAAAUUGAAGCUAAUACACGCAAACAUGUCCUUUUCGGAGGGGCGCGAUAUUAGAACUACUGGCUUGCCGGCGGUUGAAUUCAAUUAUCGUUAUAUAUCGGAAGGCGACUUCCGAUGGCCGGAAACUGUGUACGCCCUAUCACCCAGCAGGUUAGUUAUUCGCUAACCAGGGGUAUUACGGGUAACGGAGAACUAGGGUUCGUCUCCGGAGAAGAAGCCUUUGAAAGGCUACUACAUCCAAGGAAGGCAGCAGGCGCGUAACUUAUCCACUACCACAGUGAGAUAGUAACUAGUCUUAACUAUUGACUGAUCUUUUAGGUUAGUCAUGGUCCAUGAGUUGAGCCUAAAUAGCUCUUCGAGGACCAAGUGGAGGGCAAGUCUGGUGCCAGCAGCCGCGGUAAUUCCGGCUCCACUAGCGUAAAAUAUUACUGCUGCGGUUAAAAAGCUCGUAGUUGAACCUAGUCGUGUCCGUUGGGUUUGUCGUUGGCGUUUAUUCGUCUUCGGCGUUAAUUCACGGCCGAUUUUUGCUGGUUUGCUGUUGGUCUUCGGAUCUUCGGUGGCUAGCGAGUUACUUUGAUCAAAUCAGAGUGCUCAAAACAGGCGAAAGCUUGUAUGAUUUCUCGAGGAAUAACAGAAGAGGACUUCGGUUCUAUUUGUUGGUUCCAGAAUCGUUUAAUGGUUAAGAGGGACAAUUCGGGGGCAAACGUAUCCUCGCGCGAGGGGUGAAAUCCGUAGACCGUGAGGAGACGACCAAUAGCGAAAGCAUUUGCCAAGAAUG